AUUUGUUGAUAAUGGCCACCGACAUCAUUUAUUAAAUGCUUAUUUGUGACAAACAUUGUUCUAGAUAACUUGCAUAUAGAAUUUUUUUUACCAUCACCACAAUUUUAGAAAUCUAGAAGUAAGUAUAAUUACCUCCAUCUUAUAGACGAAGAAAUUGAAUUUUGGAGAAGUUAAGCCAUUUGACUUAUUGAUGCUAAAGACAAAUUACCAAAGUUAUGCCUGAGCUUAAACAUGCUACAUUUACAUACACAUUCCUAGUGCCAAGAUUCAUUUGUGAGAGAAAGUUUCAGAUUAACGUACAGUUUCUUAGCACUAGGGAAUAUCAGAGAAAUGCAGUAUAGCUUCAGCUUAACUAAAAUUCAUUGCACAUCUACCCUAUAGCAAGUUCUGGGCUUUGCACAGCAAACAAGAGAUAGAUUUCAAUAGAUCCUGACUUUGAGCUAUUCACAUUAUCACCUGAAAGAUAGAUGUGAAAAUGUAUAAUUUAGUUGUAAUGCAGGAAAUGCAAUGAGAGUGGUCGAGUUUUGCCUAGAGCUGGCCCUGACCUUCAUCAUGAUUCCCAGGAUAUAAGCCUUGGCCAUUUCUGUGUGGCAGGGUUCCAUUCAUGUCAAGUGUUAAUUACGUGAUAACCUCUGCUGUGUGAAUUCCUGUGUACAGCACUGGAGGUCUGGAGCUUAGUGUUAGGAGAUGUGAACAUCUCACUAGAUCCAGGGACCUAUGUUAGACUGCUCAUUUCCUACAUCACAGAUUUAUAUGUCUCUAUAUGUAUAAUUUCUCAAUGUAUUCUGGUCUUUAAAGUUGCCACCAUCAAUUACUCUGUUAUAAUUGCUUUAAUUCCUUUUUUGCUGUUCACAAAUCCAUAAACAUGCUGAAGGGUAAGAAGUUUCCUUGACUCCAUACACAAUCUGAAACCCUAACACAGGUAUCUUUCUCUGCAUUACAACAGUGGGAAGUAUUUUGUUUUUUUCCUUUGCUUUUUGCCCAGGAAUGACAACUUUUACCUGAAAUAGGCUUCCUCAACUCCCUUAGAAGCCCCAAAUCUCCAAUCAGAUGUCUCCCAGGGCAGUAGUUCAAGUUAAGAACUAUCUUCCUGCAGCUUUUCUAAAAUCUUACUAAUUUACUAUUUCAGGCCCAUUUGUCUCCAAAAUUUAGGAGCAGGCUGCAUAGUUGAAUACUCUGUUUCUUGCUUACUUGCUUUUUGCUAAAUAUGGAUCACUUGGUUAGUUGUUUUUUGUUUUUUUUUUAAAGCUGUGUACUUUGUAUCUACUAAGUAAAGUAUAGGAGAAGAGAUUAUUCAUUGCAGCUUUCUUUUUAAAAGGAGGUGUUCCUCUAAAUGUUCCUUGGAGAUAUAACCUAUAUCUUUUAUCUCUCAUUUGAAAAUUUGAGCUCUGACUUGGUGACAACUUUUGAGUGAUUUUGUGAAGGCCAUUUGAACUCUCUUGGCCUUAGCACACUCAUUUUUACAAUGAGAGUCAGGUGAGGUGCUCUCUUAAGUUUUAUUUCAGCUGUAACAUUGGUGAUUCUAUUGUUUGAAAUCAAGGAUCAUUUCUUAUAAAUUUCUAUGAAAGCUGCAAUAUGCUCUGCAACAGUCCUCAGCCAGCACAAACUCGAUACAAAUAAGUAUGAAUUUGUAGGCUUACAAAAUCUCAGAGUUCAAAGGGACUGUCAAGGUCGUAGAGCUCAUCCCCUGUGGUGAUACCUGAAUACCUUCUACAACAUCUCCACCAUGUGGCCAAUGAGUCCACAGGUGAACACCUCUACCAGACCCCACUACCUCCCAAGUCAACCAGUAUUUUUCUGUGGCUAUUACAAAGUUCUUUUCUCCAGUUGUUCCAAAUUCUGCUGCAUGCAUUUUUCAUUAGUAGGUCUGAAUUCUGCCACUUAUUACUUCAUUAAAAAUAAUAAUUCUUUUUUUUUACAUAAAAAUUAUUUACAUAUUUGAAAACAAUGACACAAAUAGUCUUGUCUCCAGGACAAAUAAUUCGUUUCUUUGAAAAUAAUAAUUCUUUUUUUUACAUAAAAAUUAUUUACAUAUUUGAAAACAAUGACACAAAUAGUCUUGUCUCCAGGACAAACAAUUCGUUUCUUUGAAGAAUUCUUGCUGUCUUAUGGUUCUGAAUGUGUUCCUAACUCUGAUCACUUUCUUCUUAAGUUGAUCCAGGUUGUCAAUGCAGAUUUUACUGGCCUGCAGGACUGGUCAAGGAAGUCCUAAGUAAUCCUUGGUGAUAGAACUUGAAAACUGACUUUUGGGAAGAAAGAAAGAUAAUCACUGUCAAAUGAGCAAGUAAUGACACGCAUUUGUGCAAAGAGGGCAGGAGAAUACUAAUAUCUGUUGGAUAUUUUGUGUUUCACUUUAAGUGCGUUGUUGCAAGCAAGGUAAUUACUGAGUCCUCAUCUUACAGUUGAAGUUACUGAUACAAGACUGGUAUCUGGUAGGGCUGGAAACCCAAACAUUUUUUUAGGAUUCAAAAAUCCAGCAAUAUCCCUCAAGAACAAGGAGGAUUUCAGACAUAUUGUAUGAGGAAAAACUCUACUUCAAUAAUAUAAAUGGUUGGAGUCAGGAAACUUGCCCCCUACUUAGUUUUCAAGGGAAAUUGCUUUUGAAAAUUUUGUAGAGAGAAGCUUCCUAGAUUAGGUCCAUCAUGCUACAAAAUGACAAAAGGCUUUGGUACCCCUUUAUAGAAAUUAGAAUGAGUUAUGUAUGUUGAUGUAUGGUCAUUUUUCUCCCAGGCUAGUUCUGUCCUUCCCAAAAGGGGCCUAAGAGAGGGGAUUUGUCUUCAGGCCACUGGGUAGUUCCUGCAGCUUGUGCGGAGUGGUGUAAGUGAGUCAUCCACAGCAACUCCAAUUUCUGGAUAAAUAGACUUUUGUACAUAUCUUUUUGGCUGGCUAAGUUUCUGCUGUUUUUUUCCUUGGAGUAUCUGAUACAUAGAACAGCCAUCACUUAGAGUACCUAUCUCGUACCAUGCACAGAAAAACCUCCAUUCUCCAGGAAUGUCCACUGUGGUACAAUCAGCCUUCCAGAGAACAAGGCAAAUAGUCAGGGAACUGAAUAAGAAGAACAGAAUUAUAUGCAGUGGGGGGUGGAAAUGGGCUCCUGAACAUAUCGGAUGAGUGAUUUGUAACCAGUGAUUGAGCCUUAUCUGUGAGUAGCUCCAAAAGGGCAAGAGGAGUAUUAAGUGAGUUGAUACAUGAAAGGUGCUUAGAAUGUUAAUUGGUACGGAGUAAAUGUUCAAUGGCAGUGAUGAUCACAGGUAUUAUUAUUGGCUCAGAAGUUUCAUUUGUGGAAAAAAUAAAGAUAUCUUGGUUAUAUACUGGAGUGAUGAUUCACUAUGGUCUCCUGUGUUGAAAUUUGAGAUCUGAGGCCGGGCGCGGUGGCUCCCGCCUGUAAUCCCAGCACUUUGGGAGGCCGAGGCAGGCAGAUCACGAGGUCAGGAGAUCGAGACCAUCCUGGCUAAUACAGUGAAACCCUGUCUCUACUAAAAAUACAAAAAAAAAAAUCAGCCGGGCGUGGUGGCGGGUGCCUGUAGUCCCAGGUACUCGGGAAGCUGAGGCAGGAGGAACGGCGUGAACCCGGGAGGCGGAGCUUGCAGUGAGCCGAGAUCGUGCCACUGCACUCCAGCCUGGGUGACAGAGGGAGACUCGGUCUCAAAAAAAAAAAAAAAAAAAAAUUGAGAUCUGAUACUCAAACUAGUAAACCUUGAGACCCACAUGAUCCUUUGCAAUGAACAAGUAAGUGAAGCAUGAUUGUUCUCUUAUUUCAAACUUUACUGGUGCCCCCUCUCCUGCAGAAAGCAGUUUAAACUCCCAAUGAGGGGAAAUAUACACAGCAUUACAUGGCUGCUGCCUAUCCCCAUCCCCAAGCCCCUCCCAUCUCUUAUUUUAUUCCCUUGCAAUCCUGCACGUGGACACCAAACUGUUUUACCUAUUGUGUGUUUUUGUCCACCCUGUUCUUUCUUCCUUGAAAGAACAUUAUUUGCCAGAAGGAAGAGUGGAGCUAUACAACUUAAUUGUCAUAUCCCUUGGGUCUGCUCUGUUAAAGGCUUAUGAGGUAUUCAAUUAUUUUGUUAAAAUUACAGAGAAUCACAUUAUUUAUUUCACAAUCAUUUAUCAAUUGUCUUCUAUAUGCCAGGCAAGGUGCAGAAACUAAGAAGUAAGACAGAAUCCUUGUCCUUACAUAGCUUAUGGGAAGAGAAUAAAUAAAUGUAGCAUUAGACGGUAUGGUCAGGAUAAAUGGAAAGUUCAGCUGAGGAGCUCUGGAUUAAACCUGAGUAUGUCAGAGAUAUGGGAGUGACUGGACUUUGCAGAAAGACAAAUUCUCCUAGCAAACAAAUGAGUGAGUAAGCAUCCCAACAAAGAGAGAAACAUACUUGGACUUGGUCUAUGGUAGGUGCAUGACGUUAAAAGCACACCAUGCUUGCCAAGAGAAGGAAGGUAUUUUUGCCCGAUACACUCAGUGAUGUGGUCAGACUCUGUCAUGAAAGCUCCCAAAGUACCGCAAGGAAGGAAAGUGGGAGUGGUAAGCCCUGCCAGACCAUCUUCAGAACACGGUUGUGAUGACCCUAAGAGGUAAGAAUAAGAGGAUGGCUGGGCUAGGAAAGGCUUUGUGGACUGUGAGCUGUGGCACAGGAAUGGG
rnacentral:lncRNA from 1 species